rnacentral:rRNA from 1 species
UACGUAGGGUGCGAGCGUUGUCCGGAAUUAUUGGGCGUAAAGAGCUUGUAGGCGGUUUGUCGCGUCUGCUGUGAAAAUCCGGGCUCAACCCCGGACUUGCAGUGGGUACGGCAGACUAGAGUGUGGUAGGGAGACUGGAAGUUCCUGGUGUAGAGGUGAAAUUCGUAGAUAUUCGCAAGAACACCGAGUGGCAGGAACGGCGGCUCACGUGGCCCGAUACUGACGCUG